CUACGUAGGUCCCGAACGUUGCGCGAAAUUACUGGGCGUAAAGGGUCCGUAGGCGGUCUGGUAAGUGGAAGGUGAAAGCCUGGGGCUCAACUCCAGAAUUGCCUUCCAAACUGCCGGACUUGAGGCAGGGAGAGGUCGGCGGAAUUCCCGGUGUAGCGGUGAAAUGCGUAGAUAUCGGGAGGAACGCCAGUGGCGAAGGCGGCCGACUGGAACUGUCCUGACGCUGAGGGACGAAAGCCAGGGGAGCGAACCGGAUUAGAAACCCUAGUAGUCC
rnacentral:rRNA from 1 species